rnacentral:rRNA from 1 species
GCUUCACCGCGGGAGCCCCUCGGGCGAUUUGGCUGGAGGAUAAAGCACCACCGAGUGGCUCCCGGUCCAGUGGUGCCGCGAGAAAGUCGUCCUCCUGUUGGAAUGCCAUACCUGCAAGCGCUCCAGAAGAGCAAGCUAGUCCACAUGGCCAGGCUGCUCCUCCUCCUCCUCCUCGUGGUCGUCCUCCUGGCCUUCGGCUCGCCGGCGGCAGCGUCCGAGCGGCGGCGGAACGCCAUCACGCACGUCAAAGGUUUCGAUGGCCCUCUGCCUUUCUACCUGGAGACGGGGUACGUGGAGGUGGACGCCACGCACGGCACGGAGCUCUUCUACUACUUCAUCCAGUCGCAGCGCAGCCCGAAGGAGGACCCCCUCAUCGUGUGGAUCACCGGCGGCCCCGGCUGCUCCGCCCUCUCCGGCCUCUUCUUCGAGAUCGGCCCUCUCAAAUUCGACGUGGCCACCUACACCGAGGGGUUCCCGACCCUGGUCUACUUCGAGGACUCCUGGACCAAGGUGAGCAACGUCAUAUUCCUCGACGCGCCCGUCGGCACGGGCUUCUCCUACGCGCGGGAGGAGCAGGGCCUCAACGUCAGCCUCACCGGCACCGGCGCGCAGCUCAGGAUAUUCCUCGAGAAGUGGAUCGCCGACCACCCCGAGUUCACCUCCAACCCGCUCUACAUCGGCGGCGACUCCUACUCCGCCUACCUCGUGCCGGUCACCGCGCUCGAGAUCGCCAAUCAUAAUGAUGCGGGCCACGCAAGCGGAGGCCAGAAGCUCAACCUUCAGGGCUACCUGGUGGGCAACCCUGGCACGGACGACAGGUACGACACCCCGGGCAAGGUGCCUUUCAUGCACGGCAUGGGGCUCAUCUCCGACGAGCUCUACGAGGCGGCGCGGGUCAGCUGCAGCCGGGACGACUUCGUCACGCCGAGCAACGCGCGGUGCGCCAACGCGCUCGACGCCAUCAGCCUGGUCACCACCGACAUCAACCCCGUGCACGUCCUGGAGCCCUUUUGCGGCCUCGCGCUGCGAGACCCCGGCGGCGCCACCGUCUUCACGAAGACGGCGAGGCUGCUGCUCCAGGACAACCUGGAGCACAGGCUGGCCCUCCCCGUGGAAUGCCGGGACAACGGGUACCGGCUGUCGUACAUCUGGUCGGACGACGCGGAGGUGAGGGAGACGCUGGGCAUCCGCGACGGCUCCAUCGGCGCGUGGAGCCGGUGCACCACGCUGGCGCACUACCGGCACGACGUGCGAAGCGCAGUACCGUACCACGUCAACCUGACGCGCCGGGGCUACCGGGCGCUGGUGUACAACGGUGACCACGACCUGGACUUCACCUUCGUGGGCACGCAGGCAUGGAUCAGGACGAUGGGCUACCCCGUGGUGGCGCCAUGGAGGCCGUGGUACUCCAAGCAGCAGGUCGCGGGGUUCACGACGGAGUACGCCUACAACCUCACCUACGCCACCGUCAAGGGCGCCGGGCACACCGCGCCGGAGUACCGCCCCAAGGAGUGCCUCGACAUGCUUGACAGAUGGACCUCGCCCGCCGGCAAGCUCUGA